GGGGUUGUGGUUCAGAGGUAGAGUGCUUGCCUAGCAUGCAUGAGGCACUGGGUUCCAUCCUCAGCAACACACA
rnacentral:tRNA from 1 species